GGCAGAACAACAUUUGCAGCUCUUGGGCACCCUUGUCCCUUGAGACUCUCUCCCUUGUCACAGAAUUGUCAGGAACUGUCCCCUGCUAACGUUUGAGCUGCCAACCUCUGGAUCAGCACAGACCAGAGUCAAUUGGAGCUUCCUGGGCUCCACCCCGCCUCUCCACGCUGCAGACUCCUUGAGGACGUGUUUCUCUUCGACAUCGCGUCCUCAGCAUAUAGCACAGCACGCUUACUAGGCAAUCAGGGACUAUCUGCUGAACGACUUAAGAAAUGAAUAGCAUGCACAAGUCAGCAUCCUUGCGCUCACCAGGUCUCUGUAUCCUUCUGAACAAAGCCACUCCACGCAGUUGUUAACGGAGUAGAUCACCAACUGAAAACUAUUUUUACAUCAUAUUAUAAAGCCA